GACAGAGGGGGCAAGCGUUGCUCGGAAUUACUGGGCGUAAAGGGCGCGUAGGCGGAAUGGCAAGUCGGUCGUGAAAUCCUUCGGCUCAACCGAAGAACGUCGAUCGAAACUGCCGUUCUUGAGGAUUGCAGAGGAGACUGGAAUUCCCGGUGUAGCGGUGAAAUGCGCAGAUAUCAGGAGGAACACCGGUGGCGAAGGCGGAUCUCUGGGCCUUGCCUGACGCUGAGGCGCGAAAGCUAGGGGAGCGAACAGG
rnacentral:rRNA from 1 species